rnacentral:sRNA from 1 species
GAAGGCAGCAGCAGCGGUGGCGACAUGAGCAGCGGGGCGGCGUCCGGGACAGGGCGGGGGCGGCCCCGGGGCGGGGGACCUGGGCCCGGGGACCCCCCGCCCAGCGAGACACACAAGCUGGUGGUCGUGGGCGGCGGCGGCGUGGGCAAGAGCGCGCUGACCAUCCAGUUCAUCCAGUCCUACUUCGUGUCUGACUACGACCCCACUAUUGAGGACUCCUACACGAAGAUCUGCAGUGUGGAUGGCAUCCCAGCCCGGCUGGACAGUGAGGGCGGCAAGGAUGGAUGAUGGAUGGGGGUGGUGUCAGUGGGGGCUGAGGGCUCUUGGGGGUGACUGGGGGGAGCCUGGUCCCCACGAUGGCCCCUCUGUCUCUGCAGUCCUGGACACCGCGGGCCAGGAAGAGUUCGGGGCCAUGAGAGAGCAGUACAUGCGUGCUGGCCACGGCUUCCUGCUGGUGUUCGCCAUUAACGACCGGCAGAGUUUCAACGAGGUGGGCAAGCUCUUCACGCAGAUUCUGCGGGUCAAGGACCGCGACGACUUCCCCGUUGUGUUGGUCGGGAACAAGGCAGAUCUGGAGUCACAGCGCCAGGUCCCCCGAUCAGAAGCCUCUGCCUUCGGCGCCUCCCACCA